rnacentral:rRNA from 1 species
AAUGGGCAAGGCGCCUGAUCCAGCCAUAUAGUAAGAGUGAAAAUAUUAUAAAAUAUAAUAAAACUCAAAAGAAAAGAGCGAAAGAAUGAUAGAAGUUUUCAUUAAAUCCUGACUAAUUCCGUGCCAGCAGUCGCGGUAAGACGCAAAGGAUAAGCGUAAUUCAUAAUAACUAGGUAUCAAGUGUCUGUAGGCGGCGAAUAUGAGCUAGAGUCCGACUAGGAAAUUGUAAUUUAAUAAGAAAGGUUGACAUCUAUUGAUGUAUUAAAGAACACUAGAAGCGAAGGCAUAUUUCUAUGAAGGACUGACGCUAAGAGACUAAAGUGUGGGUAGCGAAAAGGAU